rnacentral:rRNA from 1 species
GGAAAUAAUUUUCCAAAAUAAAAUUUAAAGGACGCAGUAACUUGACUGUGGUAAUGUAGCAUAAUCAUUUGCCAUUUAAUUGAUGGAUAGUAUGAAUGAUCAAACGAAUUCUCCACUGUCUCAAGAAAAGAAAACAUGAAAUUAAAAUAAUAGUUAAGAUGCUAUUUAUAAUUGUAAGACGAAAAGACCCUAUAGAGCUUAACUAUAUUCUUUCUUUAAUAAAAAUUAUAGAAUAGAAAGAAAGGUAGUUUAGUUGGGGCGACUAUCUUCUAAACAUAACGAAGAUAAGCAAUAUUAAUAAAUCAUUUAUUGUAUAAUUAACAAAUUUAACAAUUACAAAAGUAGGCUAUAAUGACCCGUUACAACAAAAUGAAAUUUGUAACGAUCAAUGAAUAAAAGCUACCUUAGGGAUAACAGGAUAAUUUUGUUCUAGAGCCCAUAUUGAAAACAAAGUUUGUCACCUCUAUGUUGAAUUAAGAUAUCCUGAUAAUGCAAAAGUUAUCAAAGGUAGGUCUGUUCGACCUUUAAAAU